GCUAAUACCGGAUAGUUCCUUGAACCGCAUGGUUCAAGGAUGAAAGACGGUUUCGGCUGUCACUUACAGAUGGACCCGCGGCGCAUUAGCUAGUUGGUGAGGUAACGGCUCACCAAGGCGACGAUGCGUAGCCGACCUGAGAGGGUGAUCGGCCACACUGGGACUGAGACACGGCCCAGACUCCUACGGGAGGCAGCAGUAGGGAAUCUUCCGCAAUGGACGAAAGUCUGACGGAGCAACGCCGCGUGAGUGAUGAAGGUUUUCGGAUCGUAAAGCUCUGUUGUUAG
rnacentral:rRNA from 2 species